CUACAANGGCCGUUAACAGAGGGAAGCAAGCCCGCGAGGGGGAGCAAAACCCUAAAAACGGUCUCAGUUCAGAUUGUAGGCUGCAACUCGCCUAUAUGAAGUUGGAAUCGCUAGUAAUCGCGAAUCAGAAUGUCGCGGUGAAUACGUUCCCGGGUCUUGUACACACCGCCCGUCACACCAUGGGAGUCAGUAACGCCCGAAGCCGGUGACCUAACCGAAAGGGAGGAGCCGUCGAAGGUGGGACCGAUAACUGGGGUGAAGUCGUAACAAGGUAGC
rnacentral:rRNA from 1 species